AUUGAACGCUGGCGGCAUGCCUUACACAUGCAAGUCGAACGGGAGAGGGGGAGAAGCUUGCUUUUCCAGGAGGAGAGGGGCGAACGGGUGAGUAAUACAUCGGAACGUGCCCUGGAGGGGGGGAUAACUAGUCGAAAGAUUAGCUAAGAGGGCAUACGACCUGAGGGUGAAAGUGGGGGACCGCAAGGCCUCAUGCUAUAGGAGCGGCCGAUGACUGAUUUGCUAGUUGGUGGGGUAAAGGCCUACCAAGGCGACGAUCAGUAGCUGGUCUGAGAGGACGAUCAGCCACACCGGGACUGAGACACGGCCCAGACUCCUACGGGAGGCAGCAGUGGGGAAUUUUGGACAAUGGGCGAAAGCCUGAUCCAGCAAUGCCGCGUGUGUGAAGAAGGCCUUCGGGUUGUAAAGCACUUUUGUCCGGAAAGAAAUGGCUCUGGUUAAUACCUGGGGUCGAUGACGGUACCGGAAGAAUAAGGACCGGCUAACUACGUGCCAGCCGCCGCAGUAA
rnacentral:rRNA from 1 species